ACCAGACUCCUACGGGAGGCAGCAGUGGGGAAUAUUGCACAAUGGGGGAAACCCUGAUGCAGCGACGCCGCGUGAGUGAAGAAGUAUUUCGGUAUGUAAAGCUCUAUCAGCAGGGAAGAAAAUGACGGUACCUGACUAAGAAGCCCCGGCUAACUACGUGCCAGCAGCCGCGGUAAUACGUAGGGGGCAAGCGUUAUCCGGAUUUACUGGGUGUAAAGGGAGCGUAGACGGCAUGGCAAGUCAGAUGUGAAAGCCCGGGGCUCAACCCCGGGACUGCAUUUGAAACUGUCAGGCUGGAGUGCAGGAGAGGUAAGUGGAAUUCCUAGUGUAGCGGUGAAAUGCGUAGAUAUUAGGAGGAACACCAGUGGCGAAGGCGGCUUACAGGACUGUAACUGACGUUGAGGCUCGAAAGCGUGGGGAGCAAACAGGAUUAGAUACCCUCGUACA
rnacentral:rRNA from 1 species